rfam:Canis lupus familiaris chromosome 27, whole genome shotgun sequence.
GGAUGUGAGGGCGAUCUGGCUGCAACAUGUGACCCCUCUGAUGGCCAGGUUUCAUUCGGCUGAUCCAACCAGCUAGGUGAGUGUCCCCUUCCUCCCUCACCACUCCAUGUGCAUCCCUCCUGAAGCUGUGCACUUGGUCAAAGAGGACAACCAUCCCCAAUUGAGGAGGACCGUUCCUUGGUCAAGGGUAUAAGAGUAGCUGCGCUCCCCUGCUAGAACCUUCAAACAAGCUCUCAAAAAAACAAAAACUAAGGAGCAAAUAACAAAGACUAAAAAUUAUUUACAACAAAUAAAAGAACUAUAUUUU